ACUGAAAAUUGCAUUAAAUGCAAAUUUGAUGCUGCUAAUUGCUGCAAUUAUACAAAAUGCAGAGGGGCGCAAAUACUGAAGAUAGUGAAAUUGCAUUAACUGCAAGCUGACUAGCAGAGCUGCUGCCAUACAAAGUGUAGAGGGGCGCAAAACUGGAAAUAGCAGAAUUGCAUUAAUUGCAAGAUGACUAGCAGAGUACAUCAACCACAGCAAGGAGGAUUAGCUAAGUGGACUCUACAGCCAAUAGGCCACAUAAUUAAGUUAGUUUUAAGUUAAUUCGAAAUGUGCAUUUAGGCGCAAGCGCUGUCAUAUAAGUUCGCUGCAUAUAUGUAUAUAUGUGCCGUAAAUAAA
rnacentral:sRNA from 1 species